UCCCACUACCCAUUCUCCUGCUUUACUCUCCAGAAUCUCCCCACCCUCCGCACAGCUUGCGCCUUCCUGUGUGUCUACCGGAGAAGAGACGAAGUCGAAGAAUGUAAACUCCACAAGGACAGAGGUUUUUGUCUGCGAGCAGAUUGGCACAGACACCUAUGACACUGCCUAGUAGGUGCCAGAAAUGUAUAUUGAAUGAAUGAGAAUGCAUCACAGCUAAUAAAGGUCACACUCAAAACUUUCUGCUCCCAAAGCCCACUGCUCCAGCUUGAGAAAGUUGUGGAGGCUCCGAUUCAGGC